AGAGUUUGAUCCUGGCUCAGGACGAACGCUGGCGGCGUGCUUAACACAUGCAAGUCGAACGAUGAAGCUGUGCUUGCACAGUGGAUUAGUGGCGAACGGGUGAGUAACACGUGAGUAACCUGCCCUCCACUUUGGGAUAACUCCGAGAAAUCGGGGCUAAUACUGGAUAUGACUAUGGCCCGCAUGGGUUGUGGUGGAAAGUUUUUCGGUGGGGGAUGGGCUCGCGGCCUAUCAGUUUGUUGGUGAGGUAGUGGCUCACCAAGGCGAUGACGGGUAGCCGGCCUGAGAGGGCGACCGGCCACACUGGGACUGAGACACGGCCCAGACUCCUACGGGAGGCAGCAGUGGGGAAUAUUGCACAAUGGGCGAAAGCCUGAUGCAGCGACGCCGCGUGGGGGAUGACGGCCUUCGGGUUGUAAACCUCUUUCAGCAAGGAAGAAGCGAAAGUGACGGUACUUGCAGAAGAAGCGCCGGCUAACUACGUGCCAGCAGCCGCGGUAAUACGUAGGGCGCAAGCGUUGUCCGGAAUUAUUGGGCGUAAAGGGCUUGUAGGUGGCUUGUCGCGUCUGCCGUGAAAACUCGAGGCUUAACCUUGGGCGUGCGGUGGGUACGGGCAGGCUAGAGUGCGGUAGGGGAGACUGGAAUUCCUGGUGUAGCGGUGAAAUGCGCAGAUAUCAGGAGGAACACCGAUGGCGAAGGCAGGUCUCUGGGCCGUUACUGACACUGAGAAGCGAAAGCAUGGGGAGCGAACAGGAUUAGAUACCCUGGUAGUCCAUGCCGUAAACGUUGGGCACUAGGUGUGGGGAGCAUUCCACGUUUUCCGCGCCGUAGCUAACGCAUUAAGUGCCCCGCCUGGGGAGUACGGCCGCAAGGCUAAAACUCAAAGGAAUUGACGGGGGCCCGCACAAGCGGCGGAGCAUGCGGAUUAAUUCGAUGCAACGCGAAGAACCUUACCAAGGCUUGACAUGCACUGGAUCGCUGCAGAGAUGUGGUUUUCUUUGGACUGGUGCACAGGUGGUGCAUGGUUGUCGUCAGCUCGUGUCGUGAGAUGUUGGGUUAAGUCCC
rnacentral:rRNA from 1 species